AACGAUUAUCAUCGGGUAGCAAUAUUCGGUGGUGAGAGUGGCGCAAAGGUGCGUAACACGUGGGUAAUUUGCCGUGAAGUCUGGAAUAACUUGCUGAAAGGCGAGCUAAUACCGGAUGUGAUUGCUGGAGGGCAUCCUCUGGCACUUAAAGUCGGGGACCGCAAGGCCUGACACUUCUCGAUGAGCCCGCGGCCUAUCAGCUAGUUGGUGAGGUAACGGCUUACCAAGGCUAAGACGGGUAGCUGGUCUGAGAGGACGACCAGCCACACUGGAACUGAGACACGGUCCAGACACCUACGGGUGGCAGCAGUCGAGAAUUUUUCUCAAUGGGGGAAACCCUGAAGGAGCGACGCCGCGUGGGGGAUGAAUGGCUUCGGCCCGUAAACCCCUGUCAUUUGCGAUCAAACCUUACGACCUAACACGUCGUAAGCUGAUAGUAGCGGAAGAGGAAGGGACGGCUAACUCUGUGCCAGCAGCCGCGGUAUGCAAAGGUCCCAAGCGUUGUUCGGAUCCCUGGGCGUAAGGGGUGCGUAGGCGGUCCGAUAAUUCUGACGUGAAGUCUUCAAGCUCAACUUGGAAACUGCGUCGAAUACUAUUCGGCUGGAGGAAUGGGAGGGGAAAACUGGAAUACUUGGUGUA
rnacentral:rRNA from 1 species